UAUCUCAUCCCACUAAAGCUUAUCAAGAAAACAAUCCAAAAGACCAAAACCCCUUUUCCAUCUUGAAGCCAAAAAAAGAAAACACAUUCUUGAAAUUUUGCAAAAAUGACCAAAGAGAUGGAAGUGGUGAAGAACUUGGAUGUUGAAAGAUACAUGGGAAGAUGGUAUGAAAUUGCCUCAUUUCCAUCAGGAUUAAUUCAGCCCAAAGAUGGAGUGAACAAAAGGUCUACUUACUCUUUGAAUCCAGAUGGGACAGUACAUGUGAUAAAUGAGACAUGGAGUGGUGGAAAAAGACAUUUAAUUGAAGAUAAAGUAGGACCCCACAUCUUGAGGAGAGUAUAUAUAACCAACUUGUUAAGAAGGCACAACAUGAAGGAUAUGACUUGAGCAAACUCCACAAGACACCUCAAGCUGAUCCUCCACCUCCACCAGAGGGUGAUGAUAGGCCAAAAAAGAAAUAUUAUAUUAAUAAAUAUGUUUUUAAAAGAAAAAAAACUACAACAUAAAUUAUGGGAAAUUGUCUUGUUAAAAAAAGAGUAUAUUGUUUUAAGCUAAGUUGCUGGACUCUCAAAAAAUGUUGUUGCAUUCGUGUCAGAUUCUUUAAAAAUAGUUCGACACAUAUCUAUCUCCAAUUUUGAAGAGUCCGAGCAACAUAGGUUUUAAGAUUGUAAUUAUUUUUAGGUGUCUUUGUAAAGUUGGUAUUUGGUAAUAUGUAGUAGUGUGGUAUUGUUGGAGAGUUUGUUGUCAAUUUUGCAUUUGAAUUUAUGAGUAUUAAAUGUGGAAUCUUUGUUUCUUUCUU